rnacentral:rRNA from 1 species
GCGUGAGUGAAGAAGGCCCUAGGGUCGUAAAGCUCUUUCGCCUGUGAAGAUAAUGACGGUAGCAGGUAAAGAAACCCCGGCUAACUCCGUGCCAGCAGCCGCGGUAAUACGGAGGGGGUUAGCGUUGUUCGGAAUUACUGGGCGUAAAGCGCACGUAGGCGGACCAGAAAGUUGGGGGUGAAAUCCCGGGGCUCAACCCCGGAACUGCCUCCAAAACUAUUGGUCUAGAGUUCGAGAGAGGUGAGUGGAAUUCCGAGCGUAGAGGUGAAAUUCGU